CUCCAUGGUGGUCCCAUGGAUGGUGUCACGUUGUUCUUGGCACCCAUGGGUGCUCUGGGGUGGGUUUCUGGUGGUGUUGUGUCCUCCUCAGCACCCAUGGGUGCUCAUGGUGGUCCCAUGGGUGGUGUCACGUUGUUCUCAGCACCCAUGGGUGCUCGUGGUGGUCCCAUGGGUGGUGUCAUCUUGUUCUUGGCACCCAUGGGUGCUUGGUGGUGGUCCCAUGGGUGCCCCCCCUGCCCAAGGCCUGACCCCGCUGCCUGUGGGCAUCUCCAGGACUUGCGCACCCGAAACACCUCGGGGUGCCCCGCAGCACCUUGGGGUGCCCCAAUAACACCCCCAAGGCGCCCCAUAGCACCCUUGGGUGCCCCAUAGCACCUUUGGGUGCCCUAUAACCACCUCAGGGCGCCCCCUACCACCCCUUAGACCACCCCCUACCACCUUGGGGCACCCCAUAACACCCUCAAGGCACCCUGUAGCACCUUUGGGUGCCCCAUAACACCCCUUAGACCACCCCCUACCACCUCAAGGUGCCCCAGAGCACCCUCAAGACACCCCA
rnacentral:lncRNA from 1 species